ensembl:misc_RNA Metazoa_SRP Metazoan signal recognition particle RNA
UGCCGACCAGGUAUCUGCGCUAUGUUCGGCAUAGAUAUGGCGACCUCCUGGGAGUGGGGGAACACCAGGGUUGCCUAUGAAUGGGGGAACUGGCCCAGGGCAGAAAUGGAGCAUGUCAGAACUCCUGUGUUGAUUGGUAGUGGGACGGCACCUGGGCA